CCUACGGGCGGCAGCAGUGAGGAAUAUUGGUCAAUGGACGAAAGUCUGAACCAGCCAUGCCGCGUGCAGGAUGAAGGCUCUAUGAGUUGUAAACUGCGUUUGUACGAGGGUAAACGCGGAUACGUGAAUAGGGUUGAAAGUAUCGUACGAAUAAGGAUCGGCUAACUACGUGCCAGCAGGCGCGGGAAUACGGAGGAGCCGAGCGUUAUCCGGAGUUAUUGGGUUUAAAGGGUGCGUAGGCGGUUUGGUAAGUUAGAGGUGAAAUGUCGGGGCUCAACCCCGAAACUGCAUCUAAGACUGGUGGACUAGAGAAUAGUUGCGGUAGGCGGAAUGUAUGGUGUAGCGGUGAAAUGCUUAGAGAUCAUACAGAACACCAAUUGCGAAGGCAGCUUACCAAACUAUAUCUGACGUUGAGGCACGAAAGCGUGGGUAGCAAACAGGAUUAGAUACCCGAGUAGUC
rnacentral:rRNA from 1 species